GGGGUGAACAAAACGGCAAAAAACUGGGGAUUUCGUCUUCGGGACGUGUGUUGACAUCGCAGGGGUCGCAAGUUCAAUCCUUGCCACGCCCACCA
rnacentral:tRNA from 1 species